rnacentral:misc_RNA from 1 species
GUAGAACAGAAAAAAAUGGCGGAGUACCUUGCGUCAAUUUUUGGCACAGAAAAGGACAAGGUAAAUUGUUCAUUUUACUUUAAAAUUGGAGCCUGUCGACACGGGGAAAGAUGUUCACGUCUUCACAACAAACCCACUUUCAGCCAGACUGUCCUGAUAGAGAAUUUAUACAUGAACCCACAAAACACAGCACUGACAGCAGAUGGAUCCCAUAUCCAGAUGGACGAUACAGAAUUACAACAAUUUUAUGAUGAAUUCUUUGAAGAAGUUUAUGUAGAAUUGGAAAAGUAUGGAGAAAUUGAGGAGAUGAAUGUUUGUGACAAUUUAGGAGACCACCUUGUUGGAAAUGUCUAUGUUAAAGUAAGUUUCAACUUCUUUGUUAGAGUUAGGUAACAUCUUGUCAAAACUGUUCUUCAAGAGAAAAUGCUCUGCAGACAUUUAAUGAUUUAUUUUCAUGCUUCAGUUCCGCUAUGAGGAAGAUGCAGAAAAAGCAGUAAAUGAAUUGAACAAUCGUUGGUUCAAUGGACGUCCAGUUCAUGCAGAAUUGUCCCCAGUCACAGACUUCAGAGAAGCUUGUUGCAGACAGUAUGAAAUGGGAGAGUGUACACGUGGUGGGUUCUGUAAUUUCAUGCACUUAAAACCGAUAUCUAGAGAACUGAGGCGUGAACUCUAUGGUAGAAGUCGCAGGAAGGUCCGAAGAUCACGUUCAAGGUCUCCGCCCACCAGAAGGAGUCGGAGUCGUAGCAGAGAGCGUAGGAGGUCAAGGUCUCGAGAAAGAAGGUCAAGGUCACGUAGUAGAGAGAAGAGAAGGUCACGAGAAAGGGGAGAAAGGGAUGGAAGGCAUGGCAGAUACUGAUCAGAGACUCUGUGUUAACUCUUUUCAUGUCAACAUGUAUUUUACUUACACGCUUCAAAAUAUUUUUGUCAUAAAUCAGAUGUGCAGAUUUUCAUUGUCAAAUAAAAUUUCAAACUAUC